UAGGGAAUCUUCGGCAAUGGGGGGAACCCUGACCGAGCAACGCCGCGUGAGUGAAGAAGGUUUUCGGAUCGUAAAGCUCUGUUGUUAAGGAAGAACGAGUGUGAGAAUGGAAAGUUCAUGCUGUGACGGUACUUAACCAGAAAGGGACGGCUAACUACGUGCCAGCAGCCGCGGUAAUACGUAGGUCCCGAGCGUUGUCCGGAUUUAUUGGGCGUAAAGCGAGCGCAGGCGGUUAGAAAAGUCUGAAGUGAAAGGCAGUGGCUCAACCAUUGUAGGCUUUGGAAACUGUUUAACUUGAGUGCAGAAGGGGAGAGUGGAAUUCCAUGUGUAGCGGUGAAAUGCGUAGAUAUAUGGAGGAACACCGGUGGCGAAAGCGGCUCUCUGGUCUGUAACUGAGGCUGAGGCUCGAAAGCGUGGGGAGCGAACAGG
rnacentral:rRNA from 1 species